AACCCUUGGACAUCGAAGAUAAAGCUACAAUUUACAGUUCAAAAUCAAAUUCCAUUUAACAAAAGAAGAAAAAGAAGUUACACCAUAGAGAAACAUAAAUAACAGAUAAUUUAGCUAGCAUUUUGCCACAGAUUUUUAAAAUCUAUCUUCAUAUAUGUAUUUGAUCAAAUUUUGAAAAUCUAAUCUUCAAAUAUUUUCAAUUUUUUGG
rnacentral:misc_RNA from 1 species